AGCAUAGUUUAGUGGUUAGAGCGCUGGUUUUCUACAGCAGGGUCGUUGGUUCGAUUCCAACCGUUG
rnacentral:tRNA from 1 species